rnacentral:rRNA from 1 species
GAUGAACGCUAGCGGCAGGCUUAACACAUGCAAGUCGAGGGGUAACAUUGGUGCUUGCACCAGAUGACGACCGGCGCACGGGUGAGUAACGCGUAUACAAUUUACCUUAUACAGGGGGAUAGCCUUUAGAAAUGAAGAUUAAUACCCCAUGGUUUAUAGAGAUCGCAUGGUUUUUAUAAUAAAGAUUUAUUGGUAUAAGAUGAGUAUGCGUCCUAUUAGUUAGUUGGUAAGGUAAUGGCUUACCAAGGCUUCGAUAGGUAGGGGCCCUGAGAGGGGGACCCCCCACACUGGUACUGAGACACGGACCAG